GAUGAACGCUGGCGGCGUGCCUAACACAUGCAAGUCGAACGAGGCCCUCACCUUCGGGUGGGGUGUCCUAGUGGCGAACGGGUGAGUAACACGUUGGUGACCUACCCCAAAGCGGGGGACAACCCUGGGAAACCGGGGCUAAUACCCCAUGUGAUCCAGAGCGUUAGAGGGCACUGGAUGAAAGGAGCAAUCCACUUUGGGAGGGGCCUGCGGCCUAUCAGCUAGUUGGUGGGGUAAUGGCCUACCAAGGCGACGACGGGUAGGGGGCCUGAGAGGGUGGCCCCCCACACUGGAACUGAAACACGGACCAGACACCUACGGGUGGCAGCAGUGGGGAAUAUUGCACAAUGGGCGAAAGCCUGAUGCAGCAACGCCGCGUGCGCGAUGAAGGCCUUCGGGUUGUAAAGCGCUUUUCUGGGGGAAGAGUAAGGACGGUACCCCAGGAAUAAGUCUCGGCUAACUACGUG
rnacentral:rRNA from 1 species